UGGCAAUGUAUGACUGACAUUUGGGGUUUGUUUUUACCAGCAAAACAGCUGAGCGGAAAAUAAAUAACACCACAAUGUCGCCACUAGUGAUAAAUGAACCAUUGAAACCAAUAAAACAAACAAAAAUGAUGCCGGCAAUAGUUUGAAGUGUUGCCGCUAUAAUA
rnacentral:sRNA from 1 species